rnacentral:rRNA from 1 species
CCUACGGGAGGCAGCAGUAGGGAAUCUUUCACAAUGGGCGAAAGCCUGAUGGAGCAACGCCGCGUGCAGGAUGAAGGCCUUCGGGUUGUAAACUGCUUUUAUAAGCGAGAAAUAUGAUGGUAACUUAUGAAUAAGGAUCGGCUAACUACGUGCCAGCAGCCGCGGUCAUACGUAGGAUCCGAGCAUUAUCCGGGAUGACUGGGUGUAAAGAGUUGCGUAGGUGGCAUAAUAAGUAGCUAGUGAAAUCUGGUGGCUCAACCAUUCAGACUAUUAGCUAAACUGUUAAGCUCGAGACCGUUAGGGGUAACUGGAAUGUCUAGUGUAGGAGUGAAAUCCGUAGAUAUUAGAAGGAACACCAAUAGCGUAGGCAGGUUGCUGGGACGGUUCUGACACUAAGGCACGAAAGCGUAGGGAGCAAACGGGAUUAGAUACCCGAGUAGUC